rnacentral:lncRNA from 1 species
GGAUGUGUCAGCCCCUGCAGAGGCAGGCUUCCGAGCCCCACCCACCAUCAAUGCCAGGCUGCCCUUCAGCUUCUUCUUCCCAUUUGUAUGAUGAGGUGGCCCCCACACGGGUGAGUACCCAUCAUGAGGGCUUCCCUUUGGCAGCAGUGGGCACCUGGGCCCCAAGCUCAGGAGGACAGGAACCUCGCUGCCACUUCCCUUAAAGCAGCCCUCUGCCCUGUCCACUGCCUUCUCCCUCUCAGAAGCUUUGCUCUGCUGGGCAUUGGGUCAGAUGGUCCAGCACACACAGGUCAAAGGCGGAGUCACCUCUGGGAGACAGGAGGGAGCAAGCCUGAUGCAGCAGUGCGUGGGACGCCUCCUCGGUGCAUCAUUCCUGGUCUAGUGGGAGCUGACUUUAGAAC